CCCUUUCAGAAAAUUCUAACACUAGUAGAAAUGCCUAUGCUUUAUUCUUCGGAAGGUGGGAAAAAAGAUAAAACUAAAUAAACGGAUUAUUCAUCCAAAUUUCAGUUUGAAACUCAUGUAAUUAACCUAUUUUUCUUUUGGUUAACCCUAAAACUGGGAUAGAUCCAUGAGAAAUCUGAUUCGAUUUUAUUAGAUAUGGUAUAGAUCAAAAUCGGAUGCCAAAAGAAUUGACUGCUGAGCCGUAUGAGGUAAG
rnacentral:lncRNA from 1 species